CUGGGAUGGGUUAUGGAGAAGGCAAUACAGAGCAGGGAGUUUUGGGGGGGCUUCUCCUUGCCUUGGGUCAGUGCCCAAGGGGCCCUUCAUCCCCCUCCAACGUUGUCCCCCUGGCUGGAAGGCAGCAAGCUGCUACAACUGGCCUCAAUGCAGGCUUUCCAGCACGCAGGAAACAGGAAGGAGCGUUAUUUCUCAACAUAGAACAAACAGAAGACAGAAUUAACUCUAUCUUAAAGCUGCAUUACCACCCUGCUAUUCGCUUCCUGACUUCAGCUCAAGUGCCUACAGGCCCUGUCCUGCUAAGCUCUGUACAAGGCCUGACAUUUGACACCCAAGACCCCAGGACUUACACAGAGGCACAAGCGGAGGCCCUGGGGAAGAGCUUUACCUCGGGCUGUACCCAGGUUAGCUUCUAGUGACUUAUGGCUCCAUCAAUCUGCACAGAUAUGUGCUGUGCUCCUUCAAGGGAAGUAGUUCAUCUUCUAUAUGACUGCAUCUCCACCUCUUCCAAAGUUCAAAGAACCCAGGACAAUUGCUUAUUUGGAUGGGCUUCCAGUAAGUAUAGGAGAUGUUCUCCCUGCCUUCCCCUGUGAAUCAGGACUUUCUGUUGAACUUUGAUACAGACAGAAACUUUCAGUCUUCCAUCCCCUAUUGAACUUGGAAGACAUGUGGUGAUGGUGAUGAAAUAUCAGGUGAGAUUGCUCAGUAUGUUUUAAGGAGCUUUGAACUGGAAAUGGAUCAAUUUAGAGUUCUUUUCUAAAGUCAAAGGAGCACAUUUUUUACGAUCCAUUUCCCAUGAACUAACAACUGUUCCCUAUCCAGCAGACAGUUUACUUGUAGCUAUUUUGACUUGCAUUAUUCCACUUAAUGAAGAUAAACAUAAGUCAGACACAGGAAAGCCACAGAAUGAGCAUGAACGGGAAGUGUUCCAAGUAUUCAGCAUUUACUAGACAAAAUUGGCCAGUAAUUCUUCUUGCUUUUCACUGAGGAUAAAAAUCCCUGAAAGAUAAUAAUCAUCAUUGUUUGAACUAAUAUAGCACUUUUAUCCAGUGAUCUGAGAACACUUCCCAAACAUUAACUGCACUGAGAACAGCCCUGUGAUUAGAUUCAUAUUAUUUAAAAUACCUGUUUUACAGACAGCCAAACUUGCAGGUCACUUGGAGGUACCAUGUCUUCCCAUGGGUCACAGAGUCAAAAGAUUACAGAGGAUUUCUGACUGCUAUUUCUAUUAUUUCUGUGACACUGCAAAGAAUACCUAAUACUGCUUACUUGAGUUCCUUAAAUUAUUCAUAUUAAAGGGACUUUUGGGAUGAAUAUAUUUUCUGCUUAUGUCUACCUUUUUUAAAAAUUGCUUCUUUUUUAGUGAUUAUUUGCAUGACUUACACUGGGA
rnacentral:lncRNA from 1 species